GAGUUUGAUCCUGGCUCAGGAUGAACGCUGGCGGUAUGCUUAACACAUGCAAGUCGAACGAGAGCUUUUAGCUCUAGUGGCGAACGGGUGCGUAAUACGUGAGAAUCUGCCCUUAGGAGGGGAAUAACUACUGGAAACGGUAGCUAAGUCCGCAUAUGCCGAGAGGUGAAAUAGUUUUUAACUGCCUAAGGAUGAGCUCACGCCUGAUUAGCUUGUUGGUGAGGUAAUGGCUCACCAAGGCCACGAUCAGUAGCUGGUUUGAGUGAACGAUCAGCCACACUGGGACUGAGACACGGCCCAGACUCCUCCGGGAGGCAGCAGUGAGGAAUUUUCCGCAAUGGGCGAAAGCCUGACGGAGCAAUACCGCGUGGGGGAUGAAGGAUUUUGGUCUGUAAACUCCUUUUCUUAAGAAAGAACUCUGGCGGUACUUAAGGAAUAAGCAUCGGCUAACUCCGUGCCAGCAGCCGCGGUAAUACGGGGGAUGCAAGCGUUAUCCGGAAUGAUUGGGCAUAAAGCGCCUGUAGGUUGUUUAUCAAGUCCGUUGUUAAAGACCAGGGCUUAACCCUGGGAGUGCAAUGGAAACUGUUAGACUUGAGUAUGGUAGGGGUAGAGGGAAUUUCUAGUGUAGCGGUGAAAUGCGUAGAUAUUAGAAAGAACACCAGUGGCGAAAGCGCUCUACUGGGCCAUUACUGACACUGAGAGGCGAAAGCUAGGGGAGCGAAAGGGAUUAGAUACCCCUGUAGUCCUAGCCGUAAACGAUGGAUACUAGGUGUUGCAUAUAUUUGCAGUAUCGUAGCUAACGCGUUAAGUAUCCCGCCUGGGGAGUACGCUCGCAAGGGUGAAACUCAAAGGAAUUGACGGGGGCCCGCACAAGCGGUGGAGCAUGUGGUUUAAUUCGAUGCAACGCGAGAACCUUACCAGGCUUGACAUACUACAAAUCUUUGGAGACA
rnacentral:rRNA from 1 species